GGAGGGGGAGUAUAUAGAGGAACACAGGGGUCUGUACAAGGACGUGAUGAUGGAGAAUCACCGGCCCCUCACAUCACUGGAUGGGCCCAGUAACAGAGAUACCCCAGAGAGAUGUCCCCGUCCUCUGUAUUCCCAGGAUUGUACAGAGGAGAAUCACAGGAUCCCACAGGAGGAUCAGGUAGAACGUCUGUCUGAUAUUAAAACAGAAGAUAUAGAGGGAGAAGAAGAGACAUAUGUGACUGUUAUAAAGGCAGAAGAUAU